rnacentral:tRNA from 2 species
CGGGUGUAGUUUAGUGGUAAAACUACAGCCUUCCAAGCUGUUGUCGCGAGUUCGAUUCUCGUCACCCGCU